UAUCACUCAAUACAGAUGAUCAAUCCGUUCCAGAUGUCAAAGAGGAGCUUGAGACCGUGACAAAAAAAUACAAAGCACUGAAGAAAAACACACAUGAAGGAACAUCACCAGUCAGUGCUGAUCAACCCGGCCCGUCAUCUGCACAGGUUUACCUGAUGCAGAGAAACAGCUGAGGCCUGUUUAACCACUGAGGGU